rnacentral:rRNA from 1 species
UACGAACCGUCCAAACGUUAUUCGGAAUCACUGGGCUUAAAGGGUGCGUAGGCGGCCCGGCAAGUUGGGUGUGAAAUCCCUCGGCUCAACCGAGGAAUAGCGCCCAAAACUGCCGGGCUUGAGGGAGACAGAGGUGAGCGGAACAGCGGGUGGAGCGGUGAAAUGCGUUGAUAUCCGCUGGAACACCGGUGGCGAAAGCGGCUCACUGGGUCUUUUCUGACGCUGAGGCACGAAAGCCAGGGGAGCGAACGGG